UAACAAGGAUUCCCCUAGUAACUGCGAGUGAAGCGGGACGAGCUCAAAUUUAAAAUCUGGCGGUCUUCUGGCCGUCCGAGUUGUAGUCUAGAGAAGUGUUAUCCGCGUCGGACCGUGUACAAGUCUCCUGGAAUGGAGCGUCAUAGAGGGUGAGAAUCCCGUCCAUGACACGGACGCCCGAGGCUUUGUGAGGCACUCUCGAAGAGUCGAGUUGUUUGGGAAUGCAGCUCAAAAUGGGUGGUAAAUUCCAUCUAAAGCUAAAUAUUGGCGAGAGACCGAUAGCGAACAAGUACCGUGAGGGAAAGAUGAAAAGCACUUUGGAAAGAGAGUUAAACAGUACGUGAAAUUGUUGAAAGGGAAACGCUUGAAGUCAGUCGCGUCCCGUGGAACUCAGCCUGGGUUCCGUCUGGUGUACUUUCCCUGGGACGGGUCAACAUCGGUUUCGGUCGGCGGAUAAAGGCGAGGGGAAUGUAGCGCCGCUUCGGCGACGUGUUAUAGCCCCUUGUUGGAUACGCUGGCUGGGACCGAGGACCGCAGCACGCCCGUUGUGGCGCCGGGGGGUUCGCCCCACGUAACGUGCUUAGGAUGUUGGCAUAAUGGCUUUAAGCGACCCGUCUUGAAACACGGACCAAGGAGUCUAACAUGCUUGCGAGUGUUCGGGUGGAAAACCCUUGCGCGUAAUGAAAGUGAAAGUUGGGAACCUCCGCGAGGGGGUGCACCGACGCCCGGCCCUGAAGUUUUCUGACGGUGCUGCGGUGGAGCAAGUAUGUUGGGACCCGAAAGAUGGUGAACUAUGCCUGAAUAGGGCGAAGCCAGAGGAAACUCUGGUGGAGGCUCGUAGCGAUUCUGACGUGCAAAUCGAUCGUCAAAUUUGGG
rnacentral:rRNA from 1 species